GCUUGUCAUCUUGUCGACUAGCACCAAAACUAGCACCGCUCUACAAGCAGCGAUCGUGGUCUCCUGACACUUAUCGUGAUGAAGCUUGGUUAAAGCGAAAAGGAAACUACAGAAAGAAUCGACGAAGUCGGAGUGUCACCAAUGAAGACCUCGACGAGCUUAAGGCAUGUAUUGAGUUGGGUUUCAGAUUCGAUUCUCUAGAUCUAGAUUGCAAGCUUUCCGAUACUUUGCCCGCUCUAGGUUUCUACUAUGCCGUCAACAAACAAUAUAGUGACAGCAUCUCCAAGUCAUCAUCUUCAGCUACACCUUCAGAAUGCGAUCCGUCAUCUCCUCCUGGAAGUCCUCACACCAUCUUCAACCCUGGAGAUGAUCCUCGGACGGUGAAGGCAAGAUUGAAGUAGUGGGCACAGGUGGUUGCUUGUUCGGUGCGGCAAUCUUCUCACUGAUUUCAGACGAACAAAACCCGAAUCUGACUGAUCUAUCUAUAGAGUGAACAAAAAUGAGAAAAAAAUUUGCAGACAAAAACGAAGAACGAAUGAACAUUGACUUUUUUCCCUGUUACCCAAUUACAUUAUGUUCUGAAAGUAAGUAAUUUGACAGAUUAACUUGGACAAAAUGUAGAUAUGUAUUCUUUUUUAAA